rnacentral:misc_RNA from 1 species
CUCCGAGGCCCGAUUGCCAUCCCUAACUCCGACCGUGGCUGACGUACCCAAACGGCGGCGACGGACGACUGCAAUGUCGUGCCCAAGCCCAGUUCCAAUCGUCGCCGUACACCGGAAGCUCGUUUUCGAAAGUUCUACGGCAACCGGAGAUGCCGUUCACCGGAGCGAGGGCUGCGAGGCUCUCCAGUUCGAACAGGUCGGAGCUUGCGUCGCUGCUCUCCUCGCUGCCACCGCUGUCCUUCACUUCGACCACCGGGAAUCUCAUGCAACCGGCGGCUGCUGCGGCCACAGCAACAUCGCCUUCGAUGUCCAAGAAACGCACGGUCCUGCUCCGGCUCUGCCUCCGGGUCACCCGCGCCCGCGCCGACGGCAGUGUCUUAGCGAGGCAGGGGCGCACGCUGGAUGGAGCCGUCGAGCACGCCGGCUCGUCGUCCGCCGGAGCCGGGUGCUGCCGCUUGCCGGAGAAGAUUGCGCUGAGCAAACUGGCGAGCCGCGCGCCGGGAGAGGCCGGCCUGCGGCAGUUGCCGCUGUCGCUGGCGGGGGUGGCGAACGGCUUCCGCGCCCUCAUCGCUGCACCAGGCGGUGCCAGCUGUUGCUUCUCCUCGGGAGCCACCGAGGCCGGCCCGGCGCCGCCAGAGGUGCGGAUGGGGCGGAGGCGGCGGAGGGAGCACUCGACCUCGGACGACGAGAAGUACCCACGGCCGGACAAGCAGUCGUCCGCGCGCGCCGCGCGGUUGCUGGCCGCCAAGGAGGGCUUGUAGUAGUAGUAGUAAUGCAGGGGCGCCUGUUGCUGCUUCUUGGCGCUCCCACGCGUUGGUGCUGCCGUCGCUCCAUGGCCGCCGGCCUGCUCGUCCAAGGAGUCGCAGAUGGCGUCCAGCAGCGUCGACGAGAAGGACGGCUGGCCAGGCCGCCUCCUCGGCUUUUCCCGCACCACCGACGGCGGCGCCCACCUCUCCAUUGUUGGCGCGUAGUCGAGAAGAGCACAGCAGCGUGCGGCGCAGGGCAAUGAUGAUAUAGGCGGGCUAGCUAGUGAUGGAAGGGACAAGAGAGCUAGCUAGAAAGCGAAGUGGCCGGGACAGCAAUGGCGGGCGCGCGUGAGUCGGGGCAGUGGAAUGUGGUGUGUGCGUGCCGUGUGCGUGCGGGGUGAGGCGGCCGUGAGGGAACUUGUUGUCUGGGUGCCCUGCACUGUCUUGGGCUGUUGGCUAUCCGCAAUCGUUACCCCUAAAUUUUUUCCCUUUAUAUCACUUUUUCACUUAUUUUCC